ensembl:misc_RNA Metazoa_SRP Metazoan signal recognition particle RNA
GCUGGGCGCAGUGGCUAGUGUCUGUAGUUCCGGCUACUCGGGAGGCUGAGGCAGGAGAAUUGCUUGAGCCCGGGAGCUCUGGGCUGCAGUGCGCUCUGCCGAUUGGGUGUCUCCACUAAGUUUGACAUCAAUAUGGUGACCACCUGGGUGCAGGGGACCAUCAGGUUGCCUAAGGAGGGGUGAACCAGCCCAGGUUGGAAACGGAGCAAGUCAAAACUCCUGUGCUGAUCAGUAGUGGGAUUUUGCCUGUGAAUAGCCACUGCACUCCAGCUGGGCAACAUAGUAAGACCCCAUCCCUA